rnacentral:rRNA from 1 species
AGUGACUGGUAUUAGCCCAGCACGAAAUCUAUUGCUAAAAGCUUUCGAAAUGUCGUGUAUAGAUGCUCAUAUGGUGAUAUUUAUCGAUAACUAAAUGUAUUUAAACAUACUGCCAUAGAAGGUGCUAGCCCUGUAUGUUAUUGAUAAUAUUAUUAUUAUUUGUAUCUUAGAGUCGUGUUGCUUGGAAGUGCAGCACUAAGUUGGUGAUAAACAUCAUCUAAGGCUAAAUAUCCCCAUGAAUCCGAUAGCGAACAAGUACUGUGAAGGAAAGUUGCAAAGCACUCCGAAGAGAGAGUUAAAGAGGACGUGAAACCGACUCGAUGGAAGCGUACAAAGCCAGUUGCGGAUAUAUUUUCUAUAAAAUAUAUUUUAGCAUGAGAACUUUGUUUUUGAUUAUAAAUAAUCAUAUAGGUCGGCAAUAUUCGUAUUGAUGGUUGUAUGAUGAUAUUAUAUUUAAAAAUAAAGCAUAUUUAUGGGUAUGAAAAUUUAAUUAUUAGUGGUAUUAUUGUUUGGCACAUGUGUCAUACUUUAUUUAUUAUUUUUAUGAUGAUAAUCUAACCAUUAAAUUCUUAUGUAUACCUGGUAUGUUGUACGUCCCGUCUUGAAACACGGACCAAGGAGUGUAUUGCUAAAGCGAGUCAUUAAUUUUUGAUAAAAUUAUAGGCGUAUUGAAAAAGAUUUAAUAUAUGAUAUUAUUUAUUAAUAGCAAUAUAGUGGUGGAAUAUAAGCAUGCUUUUUUCCGCACACAGAGCUUUAGUAGUGCGACCCGAAAGAUGGUGAACUAUGCUAGUGCAAAGUGAAGUCAGAAGAAAUUCUGAUGGAAGCUUGAAGCGGUCCUGACGUGCAAAUCGGUCGUCUGACA